rnacentral:rRNA from 1 species
UCUACGGGGGGCAGCAGUAAGGAAUAUUGGUCAAUGGAGGAAACUCUGAACCAGCCAUCCCGCGUGAAGGAUGAAGGGGCUCUGCCUUGUAAACUUCUUUUGUCUGGGGCGAAAAAGCUCGAUUUAUCGAGAACUGACGGUACCAGAAGAAUAAGCACCGGCUAACUCCGUGCCAGCAGCCGCGGUAAUACGGAGGGUGCAAGCGUUAUCCGGAAUCACUGGGUCUUAGGCGUGUGUAGGCGGCUUAGGAGAGAGGCUGUGGCUUAACCAGGGAAUUGCCUUUGAUACUGCAGAGCUUGAAUGAGGUUGAGGUUGGCGGAAUGUGACAUGUAGCGGUGAAAUGCUUAGAUAUGUCAUGGAACACCGAUUGCGAAGGCAGCUGACUGGACCUAUAUUGACGCUGAGGCACGAAAGCGUGGGGAGCGAACAGGAGUAGAUACCCCAGUAGUC